GCGAAAGCGAGUCUUAAUAGGGCGUUGAGUUAGAUGGAUCAGACCCGAAACCGAGUGAUCUAGGCAUGACCAGGAUGAAGAUUAGGUAACACUAAUUGGAGGUCCGAACCCACACCUGUUGAAAAAGGUCGGGAUGAGUUGUGCCUAGGGGUGAAAGGCCAAUCAAACUCGGAGAUAGCUGGUUCUCCGCGAAAUCUAUUUAGGUAGAGCGUCGGAUGAAUUCCUUAGGGGGUAGAGCACUGGAUGGAUGGGG
rnacentral:rRNA from 12 species